GGGAGCCUGAAAUUUGGUGUUAGGACAAAUCCCUGAAAAGAUUCUGGGGCCAAACUCCUAGGGUGUGAGUCCAGUCAUUCAGUCGCUGUGUGAUCUCAGGCAAAUUACCUCUAAGUGCUUUAGUGUCAUCAUCUGAAAGUGGGGAUAACAGAAUCAGAACUUUGAGAGUUAAACAGAUUAAUCUGCAUGAAGCACUUAGCAGAGUGUAGACUUGGAGUCAAUGCUAUGCAAGUCAAGCUACUGUAUUGUUAUUACUGUUAGUAAAAGAAGUGGCGCCUCACUCAGUUCCUCCAUCCAUGGAUGGGAAUGAGAAAGCCUUCACUUAUUUUGAAGAAAGAACCAGUCUUCUGUGGGAUAGUCACUUAAGGAGUCCUGCUGUUCACAUUGAACCAUUUAUUUCUCUUCCCUCACUUCAACACAGGUGCUCCUGAGAGGGGUAAACCUUUGAACCAAGCAAGUGUCAGGAAGUUCCCAAAUGAUUUGAGAAUAUAGAGGGUGGGAAGAAGAUGUUUAUAACUCUACUGGGCUGAACUGUUCUCAGACAUGCAUGAAAAUGAAAACAGAAAACAUAUUGAGUCAUGCUUUUAAAAGAGGAGAGGAGGGCUUCCCUGGUGGUCCAGUGGUUAAGAAUCCACCUUGCAGCGCAAGGAUCCCUGGUUUGAUCCCUGGUGCAGGAAGAUCCCACCUGCUGCAGGACAACUAAGCCCAAGUGCCACACUAUGAGCCUGCACUCUGGAUAUUGAGCCUGCACUCUGGAGCCCAUGAGCCACAAAUACUGAAGCCCAUGCAUCACAACCACUGAAGCCUGCAUGCCAUGGAGCCCAGGCUAGGCAACAAACGAAGCCACCACAACAAGAAGCCUGUGCUCUGCAACUAGAGAGUAGCCCCCACUCAGCGCAAGUAGAGAAAGCCCUCGUAGCAGAGAAGACCAGUGCAGCCAAAAAUAAAUAUUCAAAGAGGAAAGAACUAAUACUCUGGUAGUAUUUUUUAGUGCUAUUAAGGAUUACUAUUUGCUUCUUAGUUGGAAAUUCAUGUCUAAAUACCUAAAAUAAAUAAAUACUGUACCUAGCCUUUUUUGUACAUAGACAAAAAAGGUUAGGUACACUAUUGAAGUAUGUGAAAAACACUUUUCAGACAGCAAAACCUGAGGCACAUCUUGCCAAAACAGGACAGAGCUUGUCAAACACUGAGGGAGAAAGGGGAAUAGUCUCAACUGAACACUCAGUUGCCAGAGGCUCUAGCUACUCCAUGUCUAUGAAGGAGACUUCUGCUAGGGCUUACAGUGUUCACCUUUAUCAGUUCUACCUACUCAGGGCCUGACAAUGAAGAGACAAUCUGUUGAGACACUUUCUCCCUAUAACUUGGGUCCCCCACUCCCACUCCACACCUAUCCUUUUCAUUGGACUGAAUUAAAUCAAGGGGAAUAGUCCACUGAAGGAAGGGAAUAGUCUCAACUGAACACUCAGUUGCCAGAGGCAGCUUCAACUUCAGCCCCCUGGGCCACCAAAGAAUACCGCUUAUGGAGAACAGGGCCAAAAUGACUCGUCGCCCAAGGCUUUGGUCCCUAGACUGAGAUGGAACCCUCCCAGAACAUAGCUAUGCCUGCCAGGUUAAUCUUAAAAGGCUUUCAUGGUCAGGGAACAUAUCCUUAGGAAAUCUUUUGAGGUCUGUCACAGGUUCUGUCCCCCUUUUCCAAUCAAAUAGGGAUUAUCUGCAUUGGUGGUUUCCUUCCAGUUUUAACAUGAACAAGUAGGGUCAUGUGAUUUCAGGGUCCUGUGAUUUCAGGCUGAGACUCACUGUUCUGGUUUAUUUGGUACAGAAUGAGGAGCAAAAAAUUCACAGGAGCCGGGAAAGAAAGCAUGCGAGGAUGGGCGUGGAGUAAUACGCCAGCUCUUCCUGGACAAGCCACCGUCUGAGGAAGAGAUGGCAAAGAGGAAGAGAGACUGUUCCUUCACCCCCACCUUUCUCCUGGCUUUCCAGCUCCUCCCAAAUGUCCGAGGUGAUGAUGAAGCCAGUGAGGCAUCCUGGAAGGAGGAGAAAGCGUGUGCCCUGUGUUUCUGUGCUUCAUAAGGCAGUCGGGUCAGCCAAGAGAUCAGGCCCUAUAGCCAUGGCCAUUGUGAGGAGCUCACAGCUUUCAGAGCAGAGAACAUAAUUUUUAAAAAUAGACGUUUCUGCCUCAAAGAAUACCUUUCCUUGUUCUAAAGCAGCGGUUUCCAAACUUUAUUAUCAGAAAUUCCUAUCAGUAAAAUAAAAAUAAAAUUGAGGACAUACUAUAUAUAAAUAUACACAUUUGUGUGUAUUAUGUGUACUACUGAAUUAAUAUGUGUUAUAAAACACCCAAAAUAAAAAUUAGGAAAGACUGAGAUGAACCAAACAGAAAUAGAAAUCUUAACUUUUUCCUCUUUCUCACCCCAGUGGAUUAUCUUGCCCCAUGCUUGGGGUGUGUGCACUCAACUUUGGAGAUGACUCUAAGUGGUGAAAUGCUGGGAGGUCAUAGCAUGUUGCUCCAGUAGCAAAGGCAGCAAUGGAGCAGACCGCCAAUGGGAGCUCCUUGAGGAGGGACCUGGUUUUCCUUAUUCAACUUCCUGUGCUCAGUUCUAAUUAAAUGGUAGGUAAAGGGAAAAAAAGAAAUGAAGUAAGCAUUCCUAAAAGUCUGAUAACUGAUGUGAAAUCUGUGUUUUAUAUUAGGUUAUGUGAAGUGAAUAACAUUGUCUUUCUAUAAGUUUGAGUGUUAGUCGCUCAGUCAUUUCUGACUCUUCGUGACCCCGUGGACUGCCAGGUUCCUCUGUCCAUGCGAUUCUCCAGGCGAGGAUCCUGGAGUGGGUUGCCAUUCCCUUUUCCAAGGGAUCUUCCCGACCCAGGGAUUGAACAGAGAUCUCCUGCAUUGCAGGCAGAUUCUUUACUGUCUGAGGCACCAAGUGUCUAUCAGAUACCCCUCUUUGCAUGUAAGACAGGGCCACCUGCUCAGGAGAGCUGCUGACCCAGUGUGCAAGGGCCAGACUGUAGGCGCAGCACUGCUGACACCAGCUCGGGUGGAAGUGAGAGGGCGGGCCAGCACCACGGAAGGCCUGCCCACUCGCACACCAGGUCAGGCACCCCGAACUGCACAGGCAUGCAUAUUCUAUGCACGCUCAGCCCCAGGAAAGUCCUGGAACUUUCUCACUAGAUACCCAAGAUCUGUGGUUCUAGGCAGCUCAUUAUUGAGGUCAUAGUAUUGUACAAAAGAAACUAAACUGGGUUCUAGUCUCAGCUCUGUUGUGUGACCUUGAGCAAGUGCCUUAACAUCUCUCAGCCUGAGUUUUCUCAUCUAUACUGAGGAAAACCAAUAUCACCCUACCAGCCCCAGAGGGUUAUCGUGAAGUUCCUAUGAUGCACUUAGGAAGCUGUUUUGCAAAAAACGCAAAACAUAGUACCUCGAUGUCAUAAGAUAUUUAGUCUUAUGAAUUAAGGUCAUUUUAAGGCAAAAAGACAGACAUUUCCUAGAAAUCUUGGAGUUUACUAUCCCGAGAAACUUUCUCAUAAGGAGACCAGCUCGGAGGAAUAUUGGCUUAUAAUAGAUUUCUAAUCUGAACCUAGAGUUCUAGAGAUUUUAUAAGCUUAAAGAAAAAACCGAAUGAACAAUGAUGAUGUUCAUAAAGCAGAUUUCCAUUUUUUGGAAAUAGAAAUGGUAGAUUUCCAUUUCUCCAGAUAAUGCCAAGAUUUCCAAGGGAGGUGAGUUGUCUGUUCAUUCCUUCAGUAAAUAUUUAUAGAGCAACUUGUUGCUGAAAUAAAGGCCCCUCCCUCCAGGGCUCUUGUUCCAGUAAAUGAGAAAGACUUGUGAGCAAACAUUGCAAUACACUGACAAGAGCUACAGCCAGUUGUGAAUUAGAGAUACUGGGAGGCUUAAAUACUGGGGAAUCAAGUUAGUGACUUAAGGAAGAGUAGGAAUUCAUUCAUUGCCAGGAGGGGUAAAGGACAUUUCAGAGAGAAGGAAUGAAGUAUAAAGGCCAGGGGUAGAGUAGAGGGUAGGAAUGGGAAGAGAAUAGCAUGGUUUUCUGGGAACUGUAGUAAGUCUUGAGUGUGAUGUCCAAGAAGAAAGGGGUAGACAAGAAGCUCAGAAGGUAAGCAGAAGCCAACUCGUGGUAAGAGUGGGGGACCAGCAGGUCUUUUUUUUUUUUUUUCAAUUUUUAAAUUACAUAUGUAUAUUUUUUAUUUUGUUUAUUUAUUUAUUUUUGGCUGUCCUGGGUCUUCACUGCUGUCCACAGGCUUUCUCUAAUUGUAGAGGGCAGGGGCUACUCUCUCAUUGCAGCAUGCAGUCUUCUCAUUGUAGCAGCUUUUCUCAUUGUUAAGGCUACUCCAAAGUUAAGGCAUGGGGAAUGGGAAGGUUAAGGUCAGCAUUUUAAUAGGGUUAUAUUUGGAACUCAGAGCCAUGAGGUUGGAAUCAGAAGCCUUAUACUGUGAUCUCAACUCUGUUCCUGAUUACUUGUGUGACUUUGGGCGAGUCACACCACUCACUGGGCCUCAUGAUUAUAAGGAAAUAAUACAGUUCUUUUUAGGUUAAUAUUCUGAGAUUUCUAUGGAAGAGGGCUAGUGAUCAGCAUGCUCUAGCUACUCCAUGUCUAUGAAGGAGAUUUCAGCUAGGGCUUACAGUGUUCACCUUUAUCAGUUCUACCUGCUUGGGGCCUGACAAUGAAGAGACAAUCUGUUGAGACACUUUCUCCCUAUAACUUGGGUCCCCCACUCCCACUCCACACCUGUCCUUUUAGGGGACAAAAAGGUGGUGUUCUUGCCAAUACACCUAAAAAUGAGGCCACUUAGACGAUGACGUAUAACACAUAUGUUUUUGAUCUGUGAUAUUCACAGCUGCAGAACAGCUAGGAAAUAGCAAAGAACAUAAGUAGCGACUCUGGUCAAGAUGUGCCUUCACUGUGGCCACGCCACCUGGGUGUGCCUACCCCAGUCUCAGCUAGGUGGCUGUCAUUUGAGGGUUUGGUUGCAGUCACAUGGUGCUGAGGAGUCCAGAUGAAGGCUUCCUGCCCAUGUGUCCAGUGGCUGAUUGAUGCUGGCUGUCAACCAGGACCACAGCUGGCACCCUUGGCCAGAACACAUGGCUUCUCUGUGUGGUCUGGGCGUCCUCACAGCAUUGUAUCUGAGUUCCAACAGCAAGUGUCCCAACACACAUUAGAAAGAGCCAGGGGAAACUGCAUUGCCUUUACUAACCUAGCCUCCUAAGUCACAUGUUAUUGCUUCUGCCCAAUUUGUUUCAUUAGAAGCAAGGCCUUAAAGCCAGCCCAUAUCCUGGAAGAGGGGAAUUCGAUUGCCUCUCCUGAUGGAGUGGACAAAAACUUGCAGACACAUUUAAAACUACUACAUAUGUUUUUAACAGAAUAUGUGCUUGAAAUAUAUUGUUUUUGCUGGUAUAACUAUUGCUGAGAUACAAAUAAUCGCUAAUAUUUUGGAAACACUGAUCAUAUGCCUGGAACGAUGCUAAGCUCUCUAUAUGUUGGGAGAGUUAAAUGACACACCACUCCCCAUCCUAUGGGACAAGUACUAUUAUUUCCCCAUUUCACAGAUCUGGAAUCUAAAACUGAAAGGUCUGAGGUAAUUUGUCUGUUUUACCCAGGUAGAAAGUGGCAGCCCCCAGGGAGGAGCCUGGGCAGACUCAGGUACAAGCACUUAUCCACUAAGCCAAACCCUCACGUUUCCCCAAGGCUUAUAUAUAAGAUGACGUUCAGGCACGUGAAAUAGAUUCCUCACAGUUAAUGAGUGGAUAUAAAACUGUAUCCAACCUCACAAAAAAUGUAUUUGUACAGUUCCUAACAAAAUGGAGAAAAUGUCUUCCAGGUAGCUCUUAUGUGAAAGUUUCUGGAGGGAAGAGGUUGGGUUUAAGAAGAUGCUGUGAUAAUCCCUUUUUGAAGUAGGAGAGAGCCUCCCCAGCCACAUGACAGGGCAGGAGAGAGCUUGGAGGAGGAGGUGCUGACUGCUGUGGGAGAGGACAGAGAAAGAGGCAGGCCUCCCACCCUCCCGUCCACCCCAUUUCCCACAGGCGAAUCAGGAGGAGACUUGAGGAGAAAAGACUUAUCUAAAAAAGAUUGCUUUCCUAUAAAGAGAUUUACAAGAAAGAUGCUAUCUGCUAUGCAAUGUGAACUCCUCCCAUACCUCUGAAAAUCUUCAGUGAAAUUGCAAAAAAUCACAAUGGGUUUUGGUGUAGUUGGAUUUAUUGUUAGAAGUAGUUUAGGGACUGAGUUUUGUAUCGCGAAUGACUCAGAAUCAUCUAGUGCUAAAAGAGGGGGGCAUUCACUUCUGGGUUCUUAAAUCAUACCCUCUAACAGGUAGUUCAUGUACCUGACAGAGUGAUGGAAUUCUUUAACUAGUUGCAUUCCCACUAGGGCUCUCUAUCCUUGCCAGGAAUUGACAUCAGGCCCAGUCUGUUCAAGGAACAAUGAAUCUCUUCCACUGAACAAAUGCUUACUGAGCACCUGUAACACUGAUCACACCUAGAUACUAACAAAUCUCAGUGAGACUAAAUAGUGGACAAGGGGUUGUUCACCUUGUUUUGCCCACUCUAGAUCCGAGAAAUCUACCAGGAGGCUAGGUCCCUCUCAAUCCAGAUACAUAACAAUUCUUCGGUAAGUUUAUGAAACCAAUUCCAAGUACUCAUGAUUAACCCAAAGCUCUGUGGCGGGAACCAGAUAAAUUAGAAGGUUGUUAUUCCUUUGGUCACAGUCCCACAAAAGAGAUGAGAUUUGGAGACUGGAGCUGGGCGGAGCUGGGCAGAGUUGAAACUGACCUGCAGGAGUCAUGAAAUGUGAGCAAGAAAUAAACUUUUGCUGUUAUAAACCACUGGGAUUUGGGGGUUGUUAUGAAACACUCAUAAUGUAAAUCACACACUUACUGUGUGGAAGGUUUGUGGAAUAUGGAGUUGUCCAAGACACAGUCUCUGACCUCUAGAAGCUUAUAAUCUAAGAAGGUUAGACACCCAAGUAUCUGUAAAAGUAGCAGAAGUGGCCAAGCUGAUGAGUGAGGCAAGAGGACCACAAGGCUGAUUAGCAGCAUGGAAAAUAAGAGUGGAGAUUUCACAAAGGAUGGAUGAUCUGAGGCUCAAUGAUGCAGGGAGUUCAAAGAGAAAAUGGACCAAGGAGAGAUCUGUGGAUUUUGUUUCUAGGAGACAAAUAAUGGCUUUGAGGAAGUACUUCCAGAUGAGGGCUUAGAGGGGGCAAUCAAGGGCUAAAGGAGAUGGAGAGGAAGCAAAGCCAUCAAGAAAGAUUUCUCUUUCAACAUGUGUGAUGAGAGAAACCAUAGUGAUGGGGGAGAUCAGGAGUGCGCUGUUUUGCAGGAUGAGGUAGCAAGCAAGUGCACUUGGGGUUUCUGCCCUCCCUACACUCUGUCCUCAGAGUCUACUCCACCCACUGCGCUUGCUGAGAGGAGAGGGGAUCCGCAAUCUCCAGCCUCAGGUGAUUGGACCAAGGGGGGCACCUGAUUUGAGAAGGGCCAACCCAAGUUGCUAAUGACAUAACGCUUGAAUGAUUGGGCUCAAAAAGGUGACGGGGGACAAUCACAUUCCUUCUCAUAAGGCCCCCAAGCCAGGACAUACCGAUGAAAGAUGUUCUUUGGGGAUGGAUCCUUGAGCUGAAAAUAGGUACAGGAGAAUGGAGCAGCCUCUAUCCAGUCAUGUGCAUAGCUAACUCAUGAGGACCCCCAGGAAGUGGCUGAGAAAGAACAGAAAACAACAGAUAUCACGAGAAAAGUGGAGAGGCAGUGAGUAAAAGAUGGCAAUAAUGAAUCAUGAUGCCUCAUGAUGUAGGUCUUUGCAUGAAUGUCACCUCAUUUAUUUCUCAUAACAAUCCUAUGAGAGAGGUGCUAUGUUCACCCUCAUUUUAGGAACCCAAGACACAAAGGAGUUGUGCCUGAGAAGACUCAAAGUAGAGCCCAUGAUAAAAACUAUACACUGUCCUCUUGUUUAGCCAUUUUGAUUACUGCCUCUCCCAAGGGAGAUGAGGGGCACUCCCUGAAACUCCUGGGAGUCAACCCUUCCUAAGCUCAGAUGCUUGAGCUUUAUUGGAUUUCCUGAGAUCAUCUGAGCCUAUCUGACCAUCUGGAACAGCUUCUAGUUCUUGUCAUCCAAAAGAACUCAACCAAAUCAGAUGGGGAGAUUUGGGAGUUUUCUGAGUAAGGCAAACUGGAAAUGUUAGAGAGAAAAGGGGAUUGUUGAUGGAGCAGACCUACAGGGAAGCACAAAGGGGUGGAACUAAGGGUGAGGGAGAGAUUUUUCUUGUCCCACAGACAGAACCAUAUGGCUUAGUUUUACAAUCAGGCUCCACAGUGCCACGUGACAAGUUAACCAACUAACCAAACCUACAGGAGUUACACACAGCCCAGUGGCUGUGCCUUUCCAGCUGGCUUAGCCAGUAACGAAGGGAGCAGGUGAGGCUGGGCCUGCAUGCCUCCUCCUUUCUGAGCCCAAGUUUCUCUGUUGAUAAAAUGGGGAUGAUGAUUAAUAAAUGCAGAGAAGUUGACUUUCCAGGACUCUGGGGAAACUGCAGAGGUACAGAGCACCAUGGUCGGGCUGCCCACUGUGGCAGCCAGACCCAAGGUCUCAAGUCAGAUUUUCCAGAGUCAGUCUCUGAGGGGGAGGGCUGAGAGCAGGCAGUGUGUAGGGGAAUGCUCUCAGGAGCAACACCUGUGAGGGUUGAGGGCGGCCAGAAUGAGCAGAGGUAGAAGUUACAGGAAAGACAGCAGCCGAUUCUGGAGGAACUGGACCUGGGAUGGCCCACAGAGUCAUCCCCAACUGAGGUUGGAGCUAAGCCUUUAAACCCCACACCCUCUGAGAAGUCAAGGUGCCUGGGAUGCCCUGUCAGGUGCGGCAGCUCCCUUGAGUCAAGGGGGCAUGUCUUGGGGAGAGACACAGCUCUGAGAGCUUCAGCAGGGAACGUUCCAUGCAGAUCGGGGCGCAGGGGUGGGGAGAGUGCCUCAGUCUUGAAAGAGGGGAUCUGAGUGGUACUUGCAACACAUAAAAACUGAACCCCCAGUUUUCAGGGGCCAAAUCAGGCAGGGAGCCUGGGCUUUGGGAAAGUGGGGACUGAAAGGGGUCAGGAGGAGACUGCAGAAGGUUCUGUACUGAUAAGCUCUCUCCUUAUCCCCACCUGAAAUUAUUGGGAAAGUACGUGAACUGUGAAAAUGCUGCAUGUGUCUGCGUGUGUGUGUGUGUGUGUGUGUGUGUGUGUGUGUGUAGACUGUAAAGGGAGAGACUCCUGUAUCUCGUCUGGAGCCAAGAAAUCCAAGGAACUUAAAAAGUCAGAGAAACUGGAGAUAAGGAGGCAAGGAAACUGUUGGGAGAACACUGGAUCACAGUCUGGGCCAAGCCGAAACUAAAUCUCCAGCGGGCAGGGGAGUCGCAGGUGUGUCAUGUUAAAAACACGCUCUUUUCCCAGCAUGCAGCUGGGCUUGGAGGAUUUCAGCACUUCCAGCGUGAAAUAGAAACUCCUCUCUGCAGCAUGUGUGUCCCCAGCUCACGUCUGGGCUUCGUCACUGAGAACUGCCCCAACCCUGAUUCAGGAGACGCACGAUGAAGUGAGAGGAUAAUAAGCCUAUGCCUGAGGCAUCUUCACUUCAGAGGAGUGCACACAGAUAGAGGCCACCUGAGGACCUGGCAAGAGGCGCUUGCAAGCCAAGGAGAGACGCCCCGGGAGAAAGCAAACCGCUGGCACCUUGGUGGUGGACUUUCAGCCUCCAGAAUGGAAGCUGAGCCCCUCCGGAUGCCUCAGAGAGAGAAACCAGCACUUCCCCACAUGGCUCUUCAGUGGCUGCCACCCUGGACAUCGGAGCUGUGGCUUCUCCUGCUGGAUGCGUGCCCACAGCCCUGGAGAGAGCACGGACUUGAGGACUUGAAAGGCUUCCACUUAUCACCGAGGAAGCAGGAGGAGAACAAGGACCCCUCUGCCUGUGCGUGCCGCGGGUGAACAGGAAAUGGCUCCAGCCUUUCCUCCUCUCUGCCUUUGCUUUCUGUUUCAAGUCUGCUGCCUGCACCUUUGAGUCAUGCCAAACACGUUAGAACAAACAGUAAGAAACAAGUCUGCUUAUGAGGGGAAUUUCCUGAAUUCUAAUAAGUCAUUUUCUCUCCUAAAGGCAACAGCCUUGCUUCCAGGUUCUGAAUUGGA